UACAGAGGGGGCAAGCGUUGUUCGGAAUUACUGGGCGUAAAGGGCGCGUAGGCGGCCUUCUAAGUCGAACGUGAAAUCCCCGGGCUCAACCCGGGAACUGCGUCCGAUACUGGAAGGCUUGAAUCCGGGAGAGGGAUGUGGAAUUCCAGGUGUAGCGGUGAAAUGCGUAGAUAUCUGGAGGAACACCGGUGGCGAAGGCGGGUCUCUGGGCCGAAACUGACGCUGAGGAGCGAAAGCGUGGGGAGCAAACGGG
rnacentral:rRNA from 1 species